rnacentral:rRNA from 1 species
CCUACGGGUGGCAGCAGUGGGGAAUAUUGCACAAUGGGGGAAACCCUGAUGCAGCGACGCCGCGUGAGUGAAGAAGUAUUUCGGUACGUAAAGCUCUAUCAGCAGGGAAGAAAAUGACGGUACCUGACUAAGAAGCCCCGGCUAACUACGUGCCAGCAGCCGCGGUAAUACGUAGGGGGCAAGCGUUAUCCGGAUUUACUGGGUGUAAAGGGAGCGUAGACGGCAGCGCAAGUCUGGAGUGAAAUCCCAUGGCUUAACCAUGGAACUGCUUUGGAAACUGUGCAGCUAGAGUGCAGGAGAGGUAAGCGGAAUUCCUAGUGUAGCGGUGAAAUGCGUAGAUAGUAGGAGGAACACCAGUGGCGAAGGCGGCUUACUGGACUGUAACUGACGUUGAGGCUCGAAAGCGUGGGGAGCAAACAGGAUUAGAUACCCCAGUAGUC